CCUGGCGGCACUAGCGCGGUGGUCCCACCUGACCCCAUGCCGAACUCAGAAGUGAAACGCCGUAGCGCCGAUGGUAGUGUGGGGUCUCCCCAUGCGA
rnacentral:rRNA from 2 species